rnacentral:rRNA from 1 species
GAUGAACGCUGGCGGUCUGCUUAACACAUGCAAGUCGAACGGAAUCCUUAGGGAUUUAGUGGCGGACGGGUGAGUAUCACGUAAGAACCUGCCUCUAGGACGGGGACAACAGUUGGAAACGACUGCUAAACCCGGAUGAGCCGAAAGGUAAAAGAUUUAUCGCCUAGAGAGGGGCUUGCGUCUGAUUAGCUAGUUGGUAGGGUAAAGGCUUACCAAGGCGACGAUCAGUAGCUGGUCUGAGAGGAUGAUCAGCCACACUGGGACUGAGACACGGCCCAGACUCCUACGGGAGGUAGCAGUGGGGAAUUUUCCGCAAUGGGCGAAAGCCUGACGGAGCAAGACCGCGUGGGGGAGGAAGGUUCUUGGAUUGUCAACCCCUUCUCUCAGGGAAGAACGCAAUGACGGUACCUGAGGAAAAAGCAUCGGCUAACUCCGUGCCAGCAGCCGCCGUAAGAC